rnacentral:rRNA from 1 species
AGUGAACGCUGGCGGUAGGCCUAACACAUGCAAGUCGAACGGCAGCACAGUAAGAGCUUGCUCUUACGGGUGGCGAGUGGCGGACGGGUGAGGAAUACAUCGUAAUCUACUUUUUCGUGGGGGUUAACGUAGGGAAACUUACGCUAAUACCGCAUACGACCUACGGGUGAAAGCAGGGGAUAUUCGGACCUUGCGCGAUUGAAUGAGCGGAUGUCGGAUUAGCUAGUUGGCGGGGUAAAGGCCCACCAAGGCGAGGAUCCGUAGCUGGUCUGAGAGGAUGGUCAGCCACACUGGAACUGAGACACGGUCCAGACUCCUACGGGAGGGAGCAGUGGGGAAUAUUGGACAAUGGGGGCAAGCCUGAUCCAGCCAUACCGCGUGGGUGAAGAAGGCCUUCGGGUUGUAAAGCCCUUUUGUUGGGAAAGAAAAGCAGCAGGUUAAUACCCCGCUGUUCUGACGGUACCCAAAGAAUAAGCACCGGCUAACUUCGUG